rnacentral:rRNA from 1 species
UACGUAGGGACCGAGCGUUGUCCGGAAUCAUUGGGCGUAAAGGAGCGAUGUAGGCGGCCACUUAAGUCCUGCGUGAAAUCCUGCGGCUCAACCGCAGGCGGUCGUGGGAAACUGGGUGGCGUAGGAGUGCGGGAGAGGAGAGUGGAAGUUCCUGGUGUAGCGGUGGAAUGCGCAGAUAUCAGGAAGAACACCCGUGGCGAAGGCGGCUCUCUGGAACGGCAACUGGACGCUGAGACGCGAAAGCGUGGGG